UUCCAGAAAUUGUUUGUUUAAUAUGUUAUAUUAUUAGUUUACUAGUUUGACCAGUUUAUUUGUCGUAUUCUUGACGCGCAGUAAUCCGAUUCUAUUUCAGUUUGAACGAUGUCGAGUAUUGAAAGUAUAUGAAAAGCUUUGAAAUCUAAUCAAUUUGAACGAGAAGCAGAUCAAUUACGAAAAGUCACCAAUUAAGAAAAGUUCAUCGGCAUAACAGUCAUAUGUCACGCAUAAAUAAAAUUAGUGAAAUAUUAUCUAUUAUAAUAACAAAGUCACAAAUCUUAUGAUAAUAAAUUUCUAUCAUAACAUUGAGCUUACAUCCAUUGAAAAUCGAGAACAAUUAUACUACGAAGAAUACGUAUAAUAAUUGGAUUAUAAUUAUGUUGGUAUCAUGGAGGAAAAUUUUUCAUUCUGUUUAACAAUUUUUUUCUAUCUCAAAGUACAAUUGCAAUUACUCAUCUUUCGAAAAUCUUCACGUAAAGAUCCAAAUGUUAUUCGAGUCUUCUAAAAUUCAUCAUUUUUUUUCAACACUAUAAAAUAUUUAUUUACAAGAAGAAUCAAUUUAUGUACAUAGAUCACAUGUUUAUUUUUUAUAAUUGACAACUCAAAAAGUCAUUCUCAAAUUGCAAAUCAUCGAUGCUUUCGAAAUGACACUCGAAAUUUUUGAACGAUCGUAAACGUGAGCGAUGAUCGCGUCGGUGUGGGUGUUGGUUUGACAACGGUGGCCCACCUGAUUAAGUUCUCUAACACGUGCCACUUAAUGUGCCGAAAUGAUCCAAUGGGAAGAGAAUUGGGCCAGAACGGAAAAAUGGUCGGCGAAGCCGCAACACAAGAGGAAUACGUUAAUAGUUUUCGAAGAGGCUCCUUUGGAAUGGCGUUAGGAAAACAGUAAUCCAAUGUUGACGAUGAAAAGCGAUAACUUUUCCCGUUGCAUUCCGAAAUAUGGGAAGUUUUUAAAUGAAAUUGGAUCCAAGGAAGACAUCAAGAGGGUAGUUUACACCCGCUUAAGUUGCUGAUCGCCGAUUUUCCUUGAGUACCGGAACAGCGUCGGUAUGCAUGCAGAUGGUGGUCGUAAGAGGGGAUGGUCUAAAAUAAUAAAGAAGCUGACACGAAGAUGAGGAAUGUUUGUGUUUUCACGUACGAUGGCCGAUUCUUAAAUGACGGGAUACAACUGGAAAAACGUAUAUUCGAAAGACAAUACUUCGAAUAAACCAAUAGUUAUCGAUAGUUUCCUGUAGACAAUCGUUUUUCAGCUUAAAAAGAAAGAGAAAUAAAUAUUGUUCCAUCUUGUUUCUUUUUUAAUGGGAAA